UGAAAUGCGGGGCCAGAGAGCGAGGUAAUAAGGAGGGUGGAAGGGUGAAUAGGGAUGACUGGGCGUAAAGGGCACGCAGGCGGUUGGAUAAGUUAGAUGUGAAAGCCCCGGGCUCAACCUGGGAAUUGCAUUUAAAACUGUCCAGCUAGAGUCUUGUAGAGGGGGGUAGAAUUCCAGGUGUAGCGGUGAAAUGCGUAGAGAUCUGGAGGAAUACCGGUGGCGAAGGCGGCCCCCUGGACAAAGACUGACGCUCAGGUGCGAAAGCGUGGGGAGCAAACAGGAUUAGAUACCCCGGUAGUC
rnacentral:rRNA from 1 species